CGCACAUUGCGCCCCUCGGUAUUCCGUGGGGCAUGCCUGUUCGAGCGUCAUUUACACCCUCAAGCUCUGCUUGGUGUUGGGCGUCUGUCCCGCUUUAUGCAUGGACUCGCCCCAAAGUCAUUGGCAGCGGUCGUGCCAGCUUCUCGCGCAGCACAUUUGCGUUUCUUGAAGUUUGGUGGAUCAGCAUCCAGUAAGCUCUUUUAUGACUUGACCUCGGAUCAGGUAGGGAUACCCGCUGAACUUAA
rnacentral:misc_RNA from 1 species